rnacentral:rRNA from 1 species
UAGGGAAUCUUCCGCAAUGGACGAAAGUCUGACGGAGCAACGCCGCGUGAGUGAUGAAGGUUUUCGGAUCGUAAAGCUCUGUUGCCAGGGAAGAACGUCCGUUAGAGUAACUGCUAACGGAGUGACGGUACCUGAGAAGAAAGCCCCGGCUAACUACGUGCCAGCAGCCGCGGUAAUACGUAGGGGGCGAGCGUUGUCCGGAAUUAUUGGGCGUAAAGCGCGCGCAGGCGGCUGUUUAAGUCUGGUGUUUAAUCCUGGGGCUCAACCCCGGGUCGCACUGGAAACUGGACGGCUUGAGUGCAGAAGAGGAGAGUGGAAUUCCACGUGUAGCGGUGAAAUGCGUAGAGAUGUGGAGGAACACCAGUGGCGAAGGCGACUCUCUGGGCUGUAACUGACGCUGAGGCGCGAAAGCGUGGGGAGCAAACA